GAUGAACGCUAGCGGCAGGCCUAACACAUGCAAGUCGAGGGGUAGAACACUUCGGUGUUUGAGACCGGCGCACGGGUGCGUAACGCGUAUGCAAUCUACCUUGUACAGGGGAAUAGCCCAGAGAAAUUUGGAUUAAUGCCCCAUAGUAUAUAACCUUCGCAUGUUGGUUAUAUUAAAGUUCCAACGGUACAAGAUGAGCAUGCGUCCCAUUAGUUAGUUGGUAAGGUAACGGCUUACCAAGACGAUGAUGGGUAGGGGUCCGUGAGAGGGAGAUCCCCCACACUGGUACUGAGACACGGACCAGACUCCUACGGGAGGCAGCAGUGAGGAAUAUUGGUCAAUGGUCGCAAGACUGAACCAGCCAUGCCGCGUGCAGGAAGACGGUCCUAUGGAUUGUAAACUGCUUUUAUACAGGAAGAAACCCUCCCACGUGUGGGAGCUUGACGGUACUGUAGGAAUAAGGAUCGGCUAACUCCGUGCCAGCAGCCGCGGUAAAAGUGUUGUGUA
rnacentral:rRNA from 1 species